rnacentral:rRNA from 1 species
AGUGAACGCUGGCGGUAGGCCUAACACAUGCAAGUCGAACGGCAGCACAGUAAGAGCUUGCUCUUACGGGUGGCGAGUGGCGGACGGGUGAGGAAUACAUCGGAAUCUACUUUUUCGUGGGGGAUAACGUAGGGAAACUUACGCUAAUACCGCAUACGACCUACGGGUGAAAGCAGGGGAUCUUCGGACCUUGCGCGAUUGAAUGAGCCGAUGUCGGAUUAGCUAGUUGGCGGGGUAAAGGCCCACCAAGGCGACGAUCCGUAGCUGGUCUGAGAGGAUGAUCAGCCACACUGGAACUGGGACACGGUCCAGACUCCUACGGGAGGCAGCAGUGGGGAAUAUUGGACAAUGGGCGCAAGCCUGAUCCAGCCAUACCGCGUGGGUGAAGAAGGCCUUCGGGUUGUAAAGCCCUUUUGUUGGGAAAGAAAAGCAGCAGGUUAAUACCCCGCUGUUCUGACGGGACCCAAAGAAUAAGCACCGGCUAACUUCGU